rnacentral:rRNA from 1 species
CUACGGGUCGCUGCAGUGGGGAAUAUUGCACAAUGGGCGCAAGCCUGAUGCAGCCAUGCCGCGUGUAUGAAGAAGGCCUUCGGGUUGUAAAGUACUUUCAGCGGGGAGGAAGGGAGUAAAGUUAAUACCUUUGCUCAUUGACGUUACCCGCAGAGGAAGCACCGGCUAACUCCGUGCCAGCAGCCGCGGUAAUACGGAGGGUGCAAGCGUUAAUCGGAAUUACUGGGCGUAAAGCGCACGCAGGCGGUUUGUUAAGUCAGAUGUGAAAUCCCCGGGCUCAACCUGGGAACUGCAUCUGAUACUGGCAAGCUUGAGUCUCGUAGAGGGGGUAGAAUUCCAGGUGUAGCGGUGAAAUGCGUAGAGAUCUGGAGGAAUACCGGUGGCGAAGGCGGCCCCCUGGACGAAGACUGACGCUCAGGUGCGAAAGCGUGGGGAGCAAACAGGAUUAGAUACCCGCGUAGUC